rnacentral:rRNA from 1 species
GGUUAAGUGACUAAGCGUACACGGUGGAUGCCUUGGCAGUCAGAGGCGAUGAAGGACGUAUUAACUUGCGAUAAGCCCAGAUUAGGUAGUAAAAACCAUUUGAGUCUGGGAUUUCCGAAUGGGGAAACCCACUUGCAUAAGCAAGUAUCGCUACGUGAAUACAUAGCGCAGCGAGGCGAACCGGGGGAACUGAAACAUCUAAGUACCCCGAGGAAAAGAAAUCAACCGAGAUUCCGAAAGUAGCGGCGAGCGAAAUUGGACUAGCCCUUAAGCUUUUUAUGCGUCAGGUGAAACUUCUGGAAAGUUGUGCGAUACAGGGUGAUAGCCCCGUAACCGGCAACGCAUUUAAAGUGAAAUCGAGUAGGGCGGGACACGUGAUAUCCUGUCUGAAUAUGGGGGGACCAUCCUCCAAGGCUAAAUACUACUGACUGACCGAUAGUGAACCAGUACCGUGAGGGAAAGGCGAAAAGAACCCCUGUGAGGGGAGUGAAAUAGAACCUGAAACCGUGUACGUACAAGCAGUAGGAGCACCUUCGUGGUGUGACUGCGUACCUUUUGUAUAAUGGGUCAGCGACUUAUAUUCAGUGGCAAGGUUAACCAUCUAGGGGAGCCGUAGCGAAAGCGAGUGUUAACUGCGCGACUCAGUCGCUGGAUAUAGACCCGAAACCAGGUGAUCUAGCCAUGGGCAGGUUGAAGAUUGAGUAACAUCAA